UCGGGGACCGGUAUCGGGGUGAGGACCAGCCAAAGGGUUAGAUGGAGAGGCUCGAGGCUCUGUGGGCCCCAUCCUGCAAGGAUGGCUGGGAUGUGCACCCCACUGCAGCCUUGCACCCCACUGCAGGCAGCGUACCCCCCGCCAGCAGCCGCCGCGCCGCCCCCCCGCCCAUGCCCAUGUGAUGCCCAGGCAGCCCCGAGCCCCAAAUCGCAUCGUUCUCCGCUGGAAACUCUCCAGGUACUGAUGAAAUAUUUAUGAGUCAAGGCGUACACGGCCUCCGAGGUGAGGAAAGAAACGGUUUUUAUCGUGGAGAUGGACUUGAGGGGAACAUUUUAUUAGAGAGCAUGGUGUUGUAAAACGCUGUAUUCAGAAGAGGAUGGCGUGUGAUUUCCCUCCUGCGGAGCGAGGCUCAGGCGCUGAGCUGGGAAGCCGAGCGUUUCCUUCCUCAGACCGAGGAUGCUGCCGCGGGGCCGAGGUCCCCUGAAGACAGGCUCUGCUCUGAAACGCAGCUGAUGGCGGCGAGCGGCAUUUGCUUUCCAAAAUAACAUCCUCAUCCUCCCCGCUGGUGCUUCCUCGCCCUCGUGACCGCCUGGUUUUGGUAGGAGGAGCCACAUGCCAUCCGGCACCCCGAGGAGCACUCGGGAAGGCUUCCCAUCAGCUGGGGUGGAAAUCCUUCCCCUGGGCACGACGGAUGCUCCGAGCUGACUCCGAUUUCCCCGCUGCCUGCUCAGCCAGAGGAGCUAAGUAACCUCUCGGGAAUUCAAUAGGCCUGUUUAGGUGAUGCUCAGAGGCAUUAAUAAUAAAGGUGACCCUCACCUAUGGCCUGAUCCUGGGAGGAACGGGGCAGCUGCCCACAGGAGGAGCAGGAGAGGGGGCGCAGGAGGUUUUGGAGCUGCCGUCGAAACCCCGCUGGAAAAGGACGGCCUGGCAGGGAGGGAGGGCUGCUCUCGCCACGCUCAGCCGCUCUUGGUGGGCAAGAAGAGGUUCUUGAGGAGCUCAUCCAGCGGCGUGGGAGAGCAGAGAGCUGGGGCCCAACGGCUGCAUCGCCGAGUCGCUCGGUGACAAGCGGCCGCCGCUGCUUUCCUCUGCCUACCCCGCACGCCGCCCCAACAGCCUGGAGGAGGGCGAGGGAGAGGUGAGGAUUAACUCCCUUGAUGUUUUGCAAAUAGCUUUGAAAACAAGGCAACUGUGCAUUUGUGGCAAGACUGUGUUUGCGUUAAGGAAAACCACCGGCUGCGAGCACAUUUUUGCCGUUUUUUUCUGACGGACGCCAGCUUGGUCUGCUUGCACGCCGAGCCUCGGAGCCGCCUCCCUCAGAGCUGCUUCCUUGCAGAACUCGUGCAGAAAUACCUAACGGGGGUCACUGCACCGGGGCUAAAUGCCGAGGGAGGGGGAAGAGGUGCAAACACGUGUGCUCACCCAUCCCUACAGCGAUGAGCUGCUCUCCCAGUCAGCCAGAGAAGGUUUCCCCAGCCCAGCCCAGCAGAACCAGCGGUGCCCGCUCUGCUGCCCGUGCCUUCCUCCCCACACCAGUCCACAGCUUGCCGAUGUUUAAUCCAAGCCAUGGAGAGGUGCCACGGAGGGUUUGGAGGCUGUUUCCCGCAGCUGGAGUGCAAAUCUGAGUUUUCCCUUGAAGGAUUAGCUGGAGGUUGCAGGUGGACACUGAUGCUCUGCUCCCAAGGGCUGCACAGGCUCAGCGUGGCUGCGUUUGGGGCUCCAUCAGCACCAGGACCCCGCCAGCCCGGGGCACGAUCACACCCCCCUGCGAUGGGGGGGGAGCUUGGCCCUCCUGACAGCAGCCCCUCACCCUGCUGCAGCUCUUAGUCCUCAGCGCUCAAGCGAGAGCUUAACCUCGCCGUGCAUUAAACCGCGCUCUCUUAAAUAAAUGACAUUAGUCUUGGCUGCAAA